CUAAUUAGAAACCCUAACGCUCGCUCGCCCUUGCUUUCCGAACACAACUUGGCUAGUAUUAGUCGCCACUCGCCACUCACCGCUAGCCUUGCUUAACGCUCGCCGCUCGCCGCUAGCCUCGCUCAACUCUUGCCGCUCGCCGGUUAACGCUCGCCCCACUCGAUGCUCGCACUUGCCGCUCACCACUCGCGCCGGUCGCCUUGCUUAUCGCCGAAGUUGGAUGUUCGAUUUGCUUUUUGUGAAGGAA